UACGUAGGGUGCUAGCGUUGUUCGGAAUCAUUGGGCGUAAAGCGCGUGUAGGUGGUUAGGUAAGUUAGGUGUGAAAGCCCUCGGCUCAACCGAGGAAGUGCAUCUAAAACUACCUAGCUAGAGGACGGUAGAGGAAGGUGGAAUUCCUAGUGUAGAGGUGAAAUUCGUAGAUAUUAGGAGGAAUACCGGUGGCGAAGGCGGCCUUCUGGGCCGUUCCUGACACUGAGACGCGAAAGCGUGGGGAGCAAACAGG
rnacentral:rRNA from 1 species